UGAUGUCUGGUAUCGGUAUCACCUCAGG
rnacentral:sRNA from 1 species